UUACAGCAAAUUUCGAGUCACGUUGUU
rnacentral:piRNA from 1 species